ACGGGGUGCAGCAGGCGCGAAACCUUUACACUGCACGCCAGUGCGAUAAGGGAAUCCCAAGUGCGCAGGCAUAGAGCCUGCGCUUUUGUCCACCGUAGAGGAGGUGGAAGAAUAAGGGCUGGGCAAGACCGGUGCCAGCCGCCGCGGUAAUACCGGCAGCCCGAGUGAUGGCCGAUCUUAUUGGGCCUAAAGCGUCCGUAGCUGGCCAUACAAGUCCAUCGGAAAAUCCACCCGCUCAACGGGUGGGCGUCCGGUGGAAACUGUAUGGCUUGGGACCGGAAGGCGCGACGGGUACGUCCGGGGUAGGAGUGAAAUCCCGUAAUCCUGGACGGACCGCCGAUGGCGAAAGCACGUCGCGAGGACGGAUCCGACAGUGAGGGACGAAAGCCAGGGUCUCGAACCGGAUUAGAUACCCGGGUAGUCCUGGCCGUAAACAAUGUCUGUUAGGUGUGGCUCCCACUACGAGUGGGUGCUGUGCCGCAGGGAAGCCGCUAAGCAGACCGCCUGGGAAGUACGUCCGCAAGGAUGAAACUUAAAGGAAUUGGCG
rnacentral:rRNA from 1 species